GAAGGACACGUUGGGUCAGGACCUCCUUGAUCACAUCUGCAACCACCUGAACCUGAUUGAGAAAGACUACUUUGGCCUGCGCUACAUAGACAAGCACAAGCAACGGCACUGGCUGGACCCUGUGAAGACCAUCUUGAGGCAGAUGAAAGGUCAUGAGCCGUAUCUUCUGCUCCGUCGUUAAGUUCUAUCCGCCGGACCCGAGCAAGCUGCAGG